AAAAAAAACAAACCCUGGUUUCCGUGCCCAACGUUUGACCGUCCGUCUUAUUUAAAAAAAUUAUAAAAAAAAUAAAAAGACAAGUCACGUAUAAAGUAUUAAUCAUAUUUUAUCAUCUAACAACAAUGAAAAUAUGAAUUAUAAAAAAAUUUCAUAUAAGACGGACAGUCAAAGUUGGACACAAAAUCCUAGGGUUUGCCUUUUU
rfam:Oryza glumipatula chromosome 3, whole genome shotgun sequence.